CUAGUCUAGCAUGUCGUAAAUAAUAAGAAUCAAUCAAGAUAGCAGAAGAUGAAGCAAAUUCAUUAGCAAUCUCAGAAAUGUUGAGCAUAAAAAGUCCUUGGUCAUAAUACCCCUUACCCACAAAGACUAAUAGAUGACACAUGUAGCACAUCAUUCAAAGCCAAAGACUUUGUAUAUGUGAGCUUCAAAAGAACUUUCUCCAUUCUUAGAACUAGGGUAGUAUUGGAAUCACCAAGGUAGGCAUGCUAUUCUUCGUUCCUUACUAGAGUAUAGGAGGUAAAAGCCUUUAUGUUGUCAUAGAUAUGGCUGAUAGACCUAGAGUUACCACCCAUUUGCUCACAUUGGUCACAACAUAUGCCUAAGAAAUAACCACAACACUAAUAUCAUCCCUAUCUCCCUUAGCCAAGUUAGCUUUGGGCUUAAGAGGGUUGUCAUUUCUCACAGCACAUUGCCUACAUUGAGGCGCAUGAUGACCUGGUUUUCAACAAACAAAACAAAAGCCUUUUUUCUUAAAGGUUCAAUUAGUAACAUGUGAGUAGUUAUUAUUGUUAUUUUUGUUAUUGUGAUAAAGACGUCCAGUUGGUAUCUUCAAUGAUGAUGUGAGUGAUGAGGUUUGAGAAUGACAUCUGCUUGUGCAUGUGCUUCAGUUGCUUAUUGUAGUCUGUCCAUGAUUUUGGUAGUUUUUCGAUCAAUAGCUUAGUGAUGAAGUCGUCUAAAAGGUUGACAUUUUUUGCCUUCAAGUCCUCCAGUUGCUUAUGGUACUCAUUGAUUUGGACUCAGAUGUCCUUGUCAUCAGUCAUCCCCUACCGAUAGUAGUUUCCGAUGAUGAACUUCUUCCUCCCAUUAUCCUUAACGAUAUAUUUGAUGAUCAUUGAAUCCUAAAUGGCCUUGGCUCCCUUGAAGGAGCAAUCAACAUUAAACAACUCAUUAGAAAGAGUAGUAAUAAUGAUGUGAUGACAUACCUUGUUUGCAAAAGUUCAUUUCUCAAUGAGUCUGAUGUAAGCAACAGGAUGCGGUUUGGACUUUAUAAGCGUGAAAAUAACUCUGCUCAUGUCCAAAAUGUUGUAGGCACGCUCCUGCCACCUUCAGAAAUUUUGUCCUCUGAGAACCUCAAUUUUGGAGAUGUUUGGGAACAGUCUAGCAUAGUUGACUAGGGCAAAGACUGGUUCGAGAAUGUAGGACUCUUCAUCCUCCAUGUGGUCAGCCAAUAAAUCCUUAAGCAUUUAUAUGUGUAGUGCGCAAAUGCCCCUGAAUAUAACAGACCCUUCCUAUAUGAUGAACAGGGAACAAAAACUAGCAAGGAAAACAAAAGAGAGAGAACACAGAGAGAAAGGAAGACACAGAUGUUCUUCGUUUUGGU
rnacentral:lncRNA from 1 species